UGUGACAAUUUCUGAGAUAGAAUUUAGGGAGAAGAUCGAGACUGUGGGUGCUAUGGAUCAUGAGAAUUUGGUCCCAUUGAGAGCUUACUAUUAUAGCAGAGAUGAGAAGCUUCUUGUUUAUGAUUACAUGUCAAUGGGAAGCUUGUCUGCACUUUUGCAUGGUGAGUAUUUCUCAAUUUUUGGCUUUGAUAUUUUUGUUUCUUUUUUGUUGUUUCAUAUAAUGAUCUCCCUUUUUGGAUUUGCAUAUUGGUGAAUGAUUGCUGAGAUUUCUAUGGUGCGUUGCCUUUGGAGAUAAUCACUACAGAUUAUUAUUUUUUUGUAGAAUUAUAUUUAUCUUUUUUUGUGUCUGAAAUCGAUGGUGAUCUUUUUCAACUGAAUCCAUCUGCCAGGAUAAUGAUGAACUGAGUCAAAAAUAGCUAACACUGUUUUCUUCCUAAUUGUCUGGAAGGUGCUUAAAUUUGCUUGUUUCCUGCGCAAACCAAGUAGGUAAUGUUAAAUGAGUAGAAGUCAACAUGUUUUGUCAUUUCUUGUUUGAAAUUUACUUCCAGUCAAUAAUAGAUGAUCUCAAUUAUUCUCUUCAGUAGAAGUUAUCUAGCUAUACGAUCCCUGUGAUCUAGUUUUUCAUGAUGAUUGAGUUGUCAUGUUUCCAAGCAAUAAUUUUGUGGUUUGUAACCUUCUUAUAUUUUGUUGGUGAACAAUCUGGACAUGCUUUGGUUUGAUUAAGAAUGGGAAACGAUCAACAAAAUAUAUAUAUAUAUUGACUAUCAAUCUAUUAACCUAGAGAGGUGUAUGUGUUCUGCUUCAUCUAGCGUUUCCCAUCAUUUCUUCUGAUACAUUUUACCACAGGAAACAAGGGAGCUGGUAGGGCUCCAUUGAACUGGGAAAUCAGGUCUGGCAUUGCCCUUGCAGCUGCCCGUGGCAUUGAAUACCUGCACUCUCAAGGUCCCAACGUAUCCCACGGAAACAUCAAGUCAUCUAAUAUCCUUCUUACUCAAUCAUAUGAUGCCCGGGUAUCUGAUUUUGGGCUUGCCCACCUUGUUGGUCCUCCCUCUACUCCUAACCGAGUUGCUGGUUACCGAGCACCUGAGGUAACUGACCCUCGCAAGGUUUCCCAGAAGGCUGAUGUAUAUAGCUUUGGUGUGUUGCUGUUGGAGCUGCUUACCGGGAAGGCCCCCGCCCAUGCCCUUUUGAAUGAGGAGGGCGUGGACCUUCCCAGAUGGGUUCAGUCUAUAGUUCGAGAGGAAUGGACUUCAGAGGUGUUUGAUCUUGAGCUCCUCAGAUACCAGAAUGUUGAGGAAGAGAU
rnacentral:lncRNA from 1 species